rnacentral:misc_RNA from 1 species
UGACAAUACAAUUAUGUUUAUUCAUUAUCAUUAUAAAUUCAAGAUGGCCGCCGCUACAAAAUGGCGGAUAACGUAGGUUUUAUCAAUCCCAUCAAAAUGGGUAUCAAAUGAAAGGUCUCAACAAGUAGAAUACAAUUUACUAUGCAAAAUUGAAAUCUAAGCUGGCCGCCGCUACCAAAUGUCUGAUAACAAUUUUUUAUCAAUCCCACCAAUAUGGGUAUCAAAUAAAAGGGCUUGACAAGAAGAAUACAGUGCACUAUACAACCUCAAUAUUUAAGAUGGCC